AUAAUAAAUGUCAAUAUUAGUCCUGAGUUUGUCCUUGUGGGAUUUUCCAGUGAUGCAGAGAUCCAGAUCAUGCUCUUUGUGCUAAUCCUGGUGAUUCAUCUCCUGACUUUGACGGGGAAGCUGGUGAUGAUCCUGGAGAUCAGGGCUGAUUCUCACCUUCAAAGACCCAUGUACUUCUUCCUUUGACAUCUGUCCUUUCUGGAUCUCAGCUACUCCUAGUUACUGUGCCCAGGAUGCUACAAAAUUUCCUCUCAGAAGAAAAGCAUCUCAAUGUGGGGCUGCCUCACCAAGUUUCUUUUUCACUCUCUCUGGGGGAACGGAAGCCUGUCUGUUCUCUGCCAUGGCCUAUGAUCACUAUGCUACCAUCCGCCACCCUGUGGUCUAUACCAUGGUCAUGAACAGAUCUCUCUGUAUGGUGAUUUUGAGAAUUGCUUGGGCAGCGGGAUUUCUGAUUUCCUUGAUGGACAGUCUUUUCACCCACAAGUUACAUUUCUGUGGGCCUGACAUCAUCCUUAUUUCAGGUGUAAGCUGCCUCCAUUCUUCCCUCUGUCCUACAUUGAUCCCACUGUCAAUGAGAUUCUUCUAGCUGUGUCACAGGCAUUCUGGGGGCUACUGACACUUUCCCUAAUCUUCUUCUCUUACUCUAGAAUCACAUCUGUCAUACUGAGCAUCUGCUCCUCUGAGGGCCAAGGCAAAGCCUUCUCCGCAUGCCCUUCUCAUCUCGCUGUGGUUCUCUCAUUCUAUGGGACAGCUUUUUUCAGAUACCCAGGCUCUACUUCAGGUUCGGUGUUGGGGCAAGUGGUCUCUGUUCAGUAUAGUGAAC
rnacentral:lncRNA from 1 species